rnacentral:rRNA from 1 species
GACGAACGCUGGCGGCGUGCUUAACACAUGCAAGUCGAGCGGUAAGGCCCCUUUGGGGGUACACGAGCGGCGAACGGGUGAGUAACACGUGGGUGACCUGCCCUCAGCUCUGGGAUAAGCCUGGGAAACUGGGUCUAAUACCGGAUAUGACUCCAUGACGCAUGUCGUGGGGUGGAAAGCCUUGUGCGGCUGGGGAUGGGCCCGCGGCCUAUCAGCUUGUUGGUGGGGUGAUGGCCUACCAAGGCGACGACGGGUAGCCGGCCUGAGAGGGCGACCGGCCACACUGGGACUGAGACACGGCCCAGACUCCUACGGGAGGCAGCAGUGGGGAAUCUUGCGCAAUGGGCGAAAGCCUGACGCAGCGACGCCGCGUGAGGGAUGACGGCC